rnacentral:misc_RNA from 1 species
GACGACGACGACGACGACGACGACGACGACGACGACGACGAUGACGACGAAAGCUAAUUUGGAUGAAUAAGACAAAUCAAAAUUGAAUCAAACCUCGUCCGAGAAUGUCAGGAACAAAGAUCGAAUGCGCGAUUACCCUUAGUCAAGUCGUCGCUCAUUUCCUCAAGUUGACUACGCAAUUACAAGUUGUCUGUCUUUCUUUCCUCCUUUUGUAAUUUCUUACGAUAGUAAUUUCAAAGGUGCAAACCAUGCGUAAUGACCAGCGGCGUGACUACUAAAUUCGAUCCGGAUUGGGUAAGAAUGGUCGAGCUGCGUGCGGCUGGUGUCAGGAUGACUGGGAGCUUAGACACAAGAUCAUCGAAUCGUCUACACUAUGGUAUCUUGACGAUCUUGGACACGAUAUUUUCCGCGCUCGUAACCGCGCCGGCGGUGAUUGGUUAUUGGCGCGGCACCUGGGAACUGAGCGAUUUCUAUAUCUAUCCAGACGAACCAGUGUUGAGCAGCUUUGCGUCGAUCACGAUCGGCUUCACUGGCCUCUUCGCCUUUAACGUGUUGCAGCACGGUUUGGGUGAUAUCUUACAUCCGGACAAGCACCGGCUGUCCUACUACCUCGGCUCGCGACUCUAUACCGGUGUGUUCGGUUUCUGCUGCGUGAACGCCUGGCGCGGUGCCUGGAAGGCCCUGGACAUUUACACGGAGCUGACGCCCGGUACCGUCUUCGCCACGACUGCCGUCAGUCUCCUCGCGCUCGGCAUCAUGCGCACGAUUCGCAAUGUCUCCGCGCCGCCAUUCUCACUCAUUCUCGAUUCGUGUCCAGGUUACUUCGAAGUGCAGACUAUGUUUCGCAUCAACAAUACGAGAGACUGGUCGUUGUACUUACUGGAUUGUGCCUUUAGCGUCGGUGUCGUAGGUACAUUGGUUGUCUUCGUUUGGAGAGGGAUUUGGAUCGUCAUUGACAUUUACCUAUUUCCAGCAAAUCCAGAGUAUUCUGCCGUUGGCUCAUUGGCUAUCGGAUAUUUUAUAGUCGCUGUGACAUUUUGUCUACAACCGUUGAUGCAGUAUAUCUGCGCGCGUCUUCAGGGUCUGGCUCGUUUAAUGGUCGCGGAUGCCUUUCUUCUUUUGAGCUUCCUGGGAACCGUAAAUGUUUGGCGUGGUAUAUGGAAUGCUCUGGAUCUGUGGCUGUUGCCGGACAAUCCGGAAUUAUCCUGCUGGAUCACUCACGUUGGAUGCUUCGUUCUUCUCGUUCUCCUCAAUUGUAGCAAUACCAUUCUAGUCCGUGGAGUUUAUAUUGAUGCUGAGGAAGAGGAAGGAAAGUGUGUCGUGUUUCCAUGUCACUAUCUUCGAUUAUUCUUUAAGAUCGAACGCGAGAAGAAGCAAGCACGACAGCAGAAGUUGUUGGUAGCCUCCCAAGAUUUCAUCGGUAAUACUGAUAUAAACGAGAAGGAUAGCGAAAAUGGGACUCUUUUGCCGAACAAUACCUCGAUGUCGAUUAUACCUGCGAAUGCGGAUUCUCUUGCACAGAUAUGAGAAAUCGAUUUAUUUGUCAUAGACACAAACAUCGAGAGAUCGAAUAGUCGUCCAUGUUGUCCGUCGAUUUCUAAGAUGAGAUCUUUCAACAAAGUGUGACAAUUAUUGUAAUGCUUAAGACUCGGCUCUCUCACCGCGUCCAUUUUGAUUUAUGACAUUAUUUCUCGCCUAUGACCAAUGUCAUAAAAUCAAUGUGAUUGCUCGAGACAGUCGAAUCUUGAUCGGAAGUAAAGAAACAUAUGAGGUCAUGCGAUUUGGUUGUGUCCUAGGUUUAUUUAUUACACUGAUUUUUCAUUUAUUGCACGUGAUAUUUGACAAGCAUGAGUCUUAUUGGAUCACACUUGAAUUAAUACAUUCUAAUAUUAAAAGUAAAUAUAUCUUAUCAUAAAACAGAUGUAACGCGUGCGAUCGUUAGAUAUCUGAAGAAGUUGUUCUUAUGCUAAACUGGAAGAUUAAUAUCAAGAUUCGCGAUUCGUGCGAUCUUUGCAUUGAGAAUAAUGGAAUUGAUGAUAAGAAUGAACGAUUGUUGCGUCUGCCAUGUGGUUGGACAGAAUUCAUUUUGAUGUAUAUAUGCGCGCACGCGUUUAUGUACAUAACGAAACACAGUACAGGCAUACAGAAAGACGAAGGACGAAAGAAAGGGAAGAAGGAGAGAUGGAUAGGAAGAGAUGAAGAGAGGAGUGGAGCAAGAGGGGAGGAGGGAGAGAGAGGGGGGACUUAUCGAAUGAAUGAUAUUAGUAUUCGUAUACAUCCGCAUGUGUCUAUUCAUUUACACAUUUUCUCCAACAAUAAUUUAGCUAUUUAACAUUACAAAGUUUACUUUAAUGAUGUUUUCCAUAUGGCAUGAUACGAAUAUAUAUUUUUAAAGGAAAAAAGAAUAAAUGAAUCAAUUACAAGAAAAUAUAAUAGGAAUAAAUCAAGUUAUACACGAUUCAAAGUUGAAAUAUUAAUCAAGAUUUUGAUUUAACAAUUGAUCGUAAUUUUUUAAUACUAUAUGACAUAGAAAAAAGACGUAGAAAUUAGGUAAAUACGAAUAAAAUAUAAUGUUUGAAGUGAUCUUGUUUUAAAUUCGCUAUUUAUGUCACUGCUAUUUCGUAGAAAAAGAUAGUCACAAAGUUGUAAUUUUUUAACGUUGAUAAUAUCGACUAAUCAUUUCUGUUUAGUAUAGAUUUAUUGUUGAGUUUUUUAUCGAACGAGAUUUCGUAUAGCAACGCUGAUAGGUUGAACAGGAUCAUUACAAAUAAAAUGUAACUUCCAUCA